GUGCUCACCGUGACAGCACAUACACUUAAACUGGAAUGAUACAAAAAAGAUUAGCAUGGCCCCUGCUCAAGGAUGACAUGAAACUGGGGAAGCAUUUCAUGUUUUU
rnacentral:snRNA from 1 species